UGGGGAAUAUUGCACAAUGGGCGAAAGCCUGAUGCAGCGACGCCGCGUGAGGGAUGACGGCCUUCGGGUUGUAAACCUCUUUCAGCAGGGGCGAAGCGCAAGUGACGGUACCUGCAGAAUAAGCACCGGCUAACUACGUGCCAGCAGCCGCCGUAAUACGUAGGGUCCAAGCGUUGUCCGGAAUUACUGGGCGUAAAGAGUUUGUAGGCGGUUUGUCGCGUCGUUUGUGAAAACCAGCAGCUCAACUGCUGGCUUGCAGGCGAUACGGGCAGACUUGAGUACUGCAGGGGAGACUGGGAUUCCUGGUGUAGCGGGGAAAUGCGCGGAGAUCAGGAGGGAAACCGGUGGCGAAGGGGGGUCUAUGGGCAGUAACUGACGCUGAGGAACGAGAGCGUGGGUAGCGAACAGG
rnacentral:rRNA from 1 species